rnacentral:rRNA from 1 species
CCUACGGGAGGCAGCAGUCGAGAAUCAUUCACAAUGGGGGAAACCCUGAUGGUGCGACGCCGCGUGGGGGAAUGAAGGUCUUCGGAUUGUAAACCCCUGUCAUGUGGGAGCAAAUUAAAAAGAUAGUACCACAAGAGGAAGAGACGGCUAACUCUGUGCCAGCAGCCGCGGUAAUACAGAGGUCUCAAGCGUUGUUCGGAAUCACUGGGCGUAAGGCGUGCGUAGGCUGUUUCGUAAGUCGUGUGUGAAAGGCGCGGGCUCAACCCGCGGACGGCAAAUGAGACUGCGAGACUAGAGUAAUGGAGGGGGAACCGGAAUUCUCGGUGUAGCAGUGAAAUGCGUAGAUAUCGAGAGGAACACUCGUGGCGAAGGCGGGUUCCUGGACAGUAACUGACGCUGAGGCACGAAGGCCAGGGGAGCGAAAGGGAUUAGAUACCCGGGUAGUC